GAGCGGUAGAGAGAAGCUUGCUUCUCUUGAGAGCGGCGGACGGGUGAGUAAUGCCUAGGAAUCUGCCUGGUAGUGGGGGAUAACGUUCGGAAACGAACGCUAAUACCGCAUACGUCCUACGGGAGAAAGCAGGGGACCUUCGGGCCUUGCGCUAUCAGAUGAGCCUAGGUCGGAUUAGCUAGUUGGUGAGGUAAUGGCUCACCAAGGCGACGAUCCGUAACUGGUCUGAGAGGAUGAUCAGUCACACUGGAACUGAGACACGGUCCAGACUCCUACGGGAGGCAGCAGUGGGGAAUAUUGGACAAUGGGCGAAAGCCUGAUCCAGCCAUGCCGCGUGUGUGAAGAAGGUCUUCGGAUUGUAAAGCACUUUAAGUUGGGAGGAAGGGCAGUUACCUAAUACGUGAUUGUUUUGACGUUACCGACAGAAUAAGCACCGGCUAACUCUGUG
rnacentral:rRNA from 1 species